AAAGGCCUGAUCUCCUUCAUGUGAUAAACUCCUAGGACUCAUUUUUCUGAAGAAGAUGACCUGGGUCAAUGAUGGGGAACUUGUGGCUAUCCAGAUAUUUUUGGAUUGCAGCUCCCACUACAUUGGAACAUAAGAUCCUGCCAUAUGAGUUAGACGAUUGGUUCUGCUAACCCAGAACUGUCCACUGUUACUGACAGCAGCUCUUUAGGAUUUCAGGAAUGUCAUUUCCAGCACCUACUGAAUCUGUGAGCAGAUUGGAAACUAAGAAUUUAUUCCAAAAAAACCAACAUACUCUGAGGAUGAAGAAAGUUUCUAAAUCUGGGGGCAGUCUGGACUCCAAGCACAUAAAAAGGGGAAAGCAUCUAGCAAAUUGACCCCAAAACAAGAGAAGAUACUAACCCCGAGGACUGUUUUUUUUUCUCAGCAAUCACCAAGAGUUUCUUAGAAAGUAAGGGACAAAGAGUGACAGACUUUUGCAUACCAAAUAACAUGACUGGCCUGAACUUUGGGCAUAUGCACAAACUAACUGAAUAAUCUGAGCUUCAUUACAUUGUAAGCCUAAUUACAUUCAAUUCAUUAAACAAUCAAGCAUU